rnacentral:rRNA from 1 species
GUGAGAUGUUGGGUUAAGUCCCGCAACGAGCGCACCCUUCAUCCUUAGUUACCAUCAGGUAAUGCUGGGGACUUUAAGGAAACUGCCAGUGAUAAACUGGAGGAAGGUGGGGAUGAUGUCAAGUCAUCAUGGCCCUUAUGGAGUGGGCUACACACGUGCUACAAUGGUGGCUACAAUGGGCUGCAAAGUCGCGAGGCUAAGCUAAUCCCUUAAAAGCCAUCUCAGUUCGGAUUGUACUCUGCAACUCGAGUACAUGAAGUUGGAAUCGCUAGUAAUCGUGGAUCAGCAUGCCACGGUGAAUACGUUCUCGGGUCUUGUACACACUGCCCGUCACGCCAUGGGAAUUGGUUUCACUCGAAGCUAACGACCUAACCGCAAGGAGGGAGUUAUUUAAAGUGGGAUCGGUGACUGGGGUGAAGUCGUAACAAGGUAGCCGUAGAAUCACUAGUGAAUUCGCGGCCGCCUGCAGGUCGACCAUAUGGGAGAGCUCCCAACGCGUGG